GACGAACCGUGCGAACGUUGUUCGGAAUCACUGGGCUUAAAGGGCGCGUAGGCGGGCUGCCAAGUCUGGGGUGAAAUCCCACGGCUCAACCGUGGAACUGCCUCGGAUACUGGCGGUCUCGAGGGAGGUAGGGGCAUGCGGAACUGUGGGUGGAGCGGUGAAAUGCGUUGAUAUCCACAGGAACACCGGUGGCGAAAGGCG
rnacentral:rRNA from 1 species